AUCAACCAAUUGGGCUGUAUCCUGAUGAAGCAGGGCCAGCAGAUCCUCCAGUUUAGCUCUCAUUUCUGCCGAUGAAAUCCCUACUGCUUGAGAAGAGCUUGCUUCCUCACCUUCGUCAUCAGAAAUUUCAAUAGCAAAAGAGAACAAGCUAUCGGGAGAAUCUUGUUCGUGAAAAGAAGAUAAAAUAAGUUAUUUGAUGAUCAAGUACUGGUGAUGGAAAAUAGAAAUCAGGUGACUUACUUGUUUUAGGGCAAUUUCUUGCCUCUGGCUAGCUGAAGCCGAUGGCACAAUGGGUUGAUCGGCUGGAGUUGCCGAUGGAAUAAUGUCAGCUGAAAAUGAUAUAAUGGUAAUGAGUGUUGCAAGUUGAAAAAAAACAGAAAAAAAUCCAUCAGCAAAUAAUCAUAUGGACAGAACCUUACCUUGAAGGGGUGCAGUGCUUGUUUGGAUUGAAGAGACUACCGAUGAUAUGAUUGAUCCCACUGGAUCGGCGAUCUGUUCAAGUACAUCGUCUAUUAUUUCUUCCGGCUGGGGUACCUCUUGUGGCUGAGGUGGAGAUGGCGCUUGUUGUGUCUGAGCCUCUAGUGAAGAAGGGGACGAUUCCACGUGAAUCGGCGACCUUGGAGGAGGGGGAGGAGGUGAUGCUGUCCCCUGACGCUUUGCUUGUGACUUGGUACUCUUGGGACCCUUUCUCUUAGCUUGACUAGCUUGGGGGGCAUCGGCACUUGCUUUGGUACUUCUGGUCUUUGCCGAUUUACCCGUUUGCUGAUACAACGAUAAAAAGUUUCAUGAAAACAAGCGUAACAGGGUAUUAAUGGAAUUUUGGUUGCGAAAGUGAAAGUUACCGAUGAGGUGCCCAUGGCUGCCGAUGUAUCCUGAAAAGGCCGUGUAAGUAUGGAAUGGGAUCAGAAUAAAUUGAAGAGAUAAAAACUUUCUACCUUGAAAACUUGCGCCAGAGUAGCAGCAGCGACCGAUGGGGAUGUCUUGGUCCGCUUGGUGGUGAUUUUCUUGAAACACGUGUCCCGGUGCAUUAGGGCCGCCAAACUUGGAGCGUUAUUGCCGAUCAGAGAAAUCGGGCCCGAUGGGAGGAGCUCGAUCGGCUUACCACUUCUGCUGACUGAUGGUUGUUGAUAUUUGGUAACGCAAUAAGGAAACGAUCCGCAAGCGCACGGAUAUCGGUGAGCAUUUCACCCGGGAGGUUA
rnacentral:lncRNA from 1 species